GGGCUUGUGGUGAAGUGGAAUCACACUGGCCUUCGGAGCCAGCGUCCCGGGUUCGAACCAGACUAUCUUG
rnacentral:tRNA from 1 species